AAGUCGUAACAAGGUUUCCGUGGGUGAACCUGCGGAAGGAUCAUUACAGUAUAUUGAAUUCUUAUUCAUAUCAACCCACACUGUGUACCUUUUAUCUGUUGCUUCCAUGGGACAUGGCUCUGCCACGUCGGCCUUCGGGCUGGUGAGUUCCCAUGGAAGGAAACCCAAUACUCUUUUUAUUUUUGACAUCUGUCUGAAUAGUUUUUAUAAACGUUAAAACUUUCAACAACGGAUCUCUUGGUUCUC
rnacentral:misc_RNA from 1 species